rnacentral:snoRNA from 13 species
GCUGUGAUGAAUUUGAUUGAAUUGAUAAUCUGACAUGAUAAUGUAUUUUUGUCCUCUAAGAAGUUCUGAGCUU